rnacentral:tRNA from 1 species
GGAUGUAUAGUUCAAUGGUAGAAUUUCAGUACGCGUAGAAGAUAUAGGUUCGAUUCCUAUUGCAUCCA